UACGUAGGGUGCAAGCGUUAUCCGGAAUUAUUGGGCGUAAAGAGCUCGUAGGCGGUUUGUCGCGUCUGCUGUGAAAACUGGAGGCUCAACCUCCAGCCUGCAGUGGGUACGGGCAAACUAGAGUGCGGUAGGGGAGAUUGGAAUUCCUGGUGUAGCGGUGGAAUGCGCAGAUAUCGGGAGGAACACCGGUGGCGAAGGCGGUUCUCUGGGCCUUACCUGACGCUGAGGAGCGAAAGCGUGGGGAGCGAACAGG
rnacentral:rRNA from 1 species